AAUUCUCAAUCUCUUCUGGAUUUUUUAUUCAGAGGAGCAUUGGAUGUGAGGGCUUGCCGGCUUAUUUUACCGGCUCCCUUUAAAUGCAUUAGCGUUGCCUCAGCCGAUCGAACGCCCCUCGGUAUGAUAAUUAUCUAUGCCGUGUCGGGGAUCGCAUGAGUUUGUGCGCUUCUAAUGGUCUCCCUUGCGAGACACUAUCAUA
rnacentral:misc_RNA from 1 species